rnacentral:rRNA from 1 species
AUUGAACGCUGGCGGCAGGCCUAACACAUGCAAGUCCGAGCGGAAACGAGUUAACUGAACCUUCGGGGAACGUUAACGGCGUCGAGCGGCGGACGGGUGAGUAAUGCCUGGGAAAUUGCCCUGAUGUGGGGGAUAACCAUUGGAAACGAUGGCUAAUACCGCAUAAUAGCUUCGGCUCAAAGAGGGGGACCUUCGGGCCUCUCGCGUCAGGAUAUGCCCAGGUGGGAUUAGCUAGUUGGUGAGGUAAUGGCUCACCAAGGCGACGAUCCCUAGCUGGUCUGAGAGGAUGAUCAGCCACACUGGAACUGAGACACGGUCCAGACUCCUACGGGAGGCAGCAGUGGGGAAUAUUGCACAAUGGGCGCAAGCCUGAUGCAGCCAUGCCGCGUGUGUGAAGAAGGCCUUCGGGUUGUAAAGCACUUUCAGCAGUGAGGAAGGUGGUGUCGUUAAUAGCGGCAUCAUUUGACGUUAGCUGCAGAAGAAGCACCGGCUAACUCCGU